rnacentral:rRNA from 1 species
UACGGGGGGGGCAAGCGUUGUUCGGAAUUACUGGGCGUAAAGGGCUCGUAGGUGGCCAACUAAGUCAGACGUGAAAUCCCUCGGCUUAACCGGGGAACUGCGUCUGAUACUGGAUGGCUUGAGUGUGGGAGAGGGAUGCGGAAUUCCAGGUGUAGCGGUGAAAUGCGUAGAUAUCAGGAGGAACACCAAUUGCGAAGGCAGCUCGCUGGGACGCUACUGACGCUGAGACGCGAAAGCGUGGGGAGCAAACAGG